rnacentral:rRNA from 1 species
CACGUAGGGCGCAAGCGUUGUCCGGAAUUAUUGGGCGUAAAGAGCUCGUAGGCGGUCUGUUGCGUCCGCUGUGAAAACUCGGGGCUUAACCCCGAGCCUGCAGUGGAUACGGGCAGGCUAGAGUGUGGUAGGGGAGAUCGGAAUUCCUGGUGCAGCGGUGAAAUGCGCAGAUAUCAGGAAGAACACCCGUGGCGAAAGCGGCUCUCUGGAACGGUACUGACGCUGAGACGCGAAAGCGUGGGGAGCGAACAGG